ACACUCCUACGGGAGGCAGCAGUGGGGAAUAUUGCACAAUGGGCGCAAGCCUGAUGCAGCCAUGCCGCGUGUAUGAAGAAGGCCUUCGGGUUGUAAAGUACUUUCAGCGGGGAGGAAGGCGAUAAGGUUAAUAACCUUGUUGAUUGACGUUACCCGCAGAAGAAGCACCGGCUAACUCCGUGCCAGCAGCCGCGGUAAUACGGAGGGUGCAAGCGUUAAUCGGAAUUACUGGGCGUAAAGCGCACGCAGGCGGUCUGUCAAGUCGGAUGUGAAAUCCCCGGGCUCAACCUGGGAACUGCAUUCGAAACUGGCAGGCUAGAGUCUUGUAGAGGGGGGUAGAAUUCCAGGUGUAGCGGUGAAAUGCGUAGAGAUCUGGAGGAAUACCGGUGGCGAAGGCGGCCCCCUGGACAAAGACUGACGCUCAGGUGCGAAAGCGUGGGGAGCAAACAGGAGUAGAAACCCCGGUAGUCCC
rnacentral:rRNA from 1 species